rnacentral:misc_RNA from 1 species
GAUGAAGAACGUAGCGAAAUGCGAUACGUAAUGUGAAUUGCAGAAUUCAGUGAAUCAUCGAAUCUUUGAACGCAUAUUGCGCUCUCUGGUAUUCCGGAGAGCAUGCUUGUUUGAGUAUCAGUAAACACCUCAACUCCCUUUUCUUUUUUGAAAUGGGAGCUGGACUUGAGUGAUCCAAACACUUUUCUCACUGGAAAGUGGCGGGUCACUUGAAAUGCAGGUGCAGCUGGACUUUUCUCUGAGCUAUAAGCAUAUCUAUUUAGUCUGCCUAAAAAACAGAUUAUUACCUUUGCUGCAGCUAACAUAAAGGAGAUGAGUUCUUGUGCUGACUGAUGCAGGAUUCACAGAGACAGCUUUGCGGCUGACUUUGUAAACUCGAUCUCAAAUCAAGUAAGACUACCCGCUGAACUUAAGCAUAUCAAUAAGCGGAGGA